GUCUAAUGAGCUGAUGGCAAUAAUGGAUUAUAUGAUUUCUCACACAUACGUGUUCUCCAAGGCCUCCAUCUCCACAGGGUGUUGUGAUGUUGACGGCAAUGUUGUGAUUACUGACAGGGUUGGCAACCAAUCUUCUCUCUCUAGUACCGGAGGGAGAAACAGGCUGGUGAUGAGAUCGGGGUGUAAUCAUUAGUCCAAAUUAGUGCAAGUAAAACGACAGGUUCUAUUGGACAAAUUCAGGUUGUUCACAGUGCACACCACUGAACAGCUCCAGCUUUAGAACAAUGAACCAUUUGUUUGGAUGGACGUUAAUGCUGCUGUAUUUCGACACUGAUGGUUGUUCACAGUGCACACCACUGAACAGCUCCAGCUUUAGAACAAUGAACCAUUUGUUUGGAUGGACGUUAAUGCUGCUGUAUUUCGACACUGAUGGUAUGUUUCUUUUGUUACUGAUUUACUGUGUAUGUGGGAGAUGAUAGAUAAGUAGCCUAAACUUUAUUUGUUUUAAAAUGUUCAAUGUUUUAAUUAGUAACUUUAGAAACGUAUUUUUGUACGUUUGUUGUGGCUCCUGAUAAGGGAGCCUAGGCUAGCAGCUGUAGUGCAUGGAGCGCAGACCAAAUGUCCCGUGUGGCUCAGUUGGUAGAGCAUGGUGUUUGCAACGCCACGGUUGUGAUUUCGAUUCCCACGGGAGACCAGUACGGGAAAAACAAAUGUAUGAAAUGUAUGCAUUCACUACUGUAAGUCGCUCUGGAUAAGAGCGUCUGCUAAAUGACUAAAAUGUAAAUGUAAUUCCCCAAAUUGCAUUCCCCCCCCUUAUUAAAUGUGUAAAGGGUAAAUCAUUUAAACAGUGUGUAGCCUGUUGCUAAGACUCAAAAUAACAUUCCUCUCUCUCUAGAGACAUAUCCUCCUGUAUCCUGUCUGAGCGUUUGAUAAAUAUUUACAGUAAGGGAUAGAUAAUGACAGAGUAGGUUGUUUAACAGAGCUCUUUCAUGGGAAGAAAGAGGUGGAGGCUAUAAAAGUUUGCGGUCUAAACACCAACUACAGAGUAAUACUUUGAUGCAUAGACUAAUUUAUGAGAGAUUAAUGAUCUUUUGGAAACAACAGGCUGACAACCUUUUAUAAUAUCUGAGAUAGAAACUGUAGCAAGUCAUUUGAAACUAAAUUUGCAUUACUAUUUGCUUUUUUUCCAACUGACAGAGCUCACAGCCUCACUGUUUUGACUCAUAGUGCCUAAUGAUUAUAGAUGUGAUAGUAAAACACGCACCUUU